rnacentral:lncRNA from 1 species
GCCCCUUAUUAAUCUACUAAUGAGUUCUGAUAAAGAGAGAGAAAAAAAAGCAGACACCAAAGGUUCAUCAAUUCCUCUGCAACUACAUACCGCAUGAGUGACACAUAUUAUUCAGGCUAGUUUCCGCUUCUCCUUUCACCUGCGAAACAUCAUCACCAACUCCUAAUAUGAACGAAACAUAUAGGCAGAAAAAUAAACAAAGCUGAAAUAACCUUUAAGCCAUUCCACGCUUGCGUUUAGCCUUUUCCCAUUCAUCAAGUAAACAAGUGACACCUUCUUCAAGUGUAGCCUUCCUGUCUUCUUUUAAGUUCCAUAGCUCUGUUGU